CAGACUUGCUGUCUGAAAGGCUCACAGAAACAGUCUUGUGCUUCUUGCUUAUACACAACACACCACUUUACACACAAGAGGAAAAUUUGGAAAGUAUCCUAAGCUUCAUCUUUAGCUCAACUGUUUCUCCUGAGCCUCUCAGGGGAAAAAAAUUCUCUUUUUCUUGUAUCUUAACAGCUAAGGAAGCUCUCCACAAAGUUCCACUUUGCUUUCUCAUUCUAACAAAUUAAAUAAAGCAGAAAUAACUUGUGACUGAACCAAGUUUGCCAGCCCUUGCUAAUUGUGGAUCCAGCUUUCCCUUCAAACAGGAUCUUUUCUUCCCAAGUGCAUGCUCCAAGGAGCUCCGCACCCCCUGCCCUGCUGGGACACCCUGCGGUCUCUGCCUGCACCCCAGCGGUUCCAGCCACAGCUGCGGAGUUUUUGAAACAUCUCACCUACCAACCGCUCUGCGGC